UUGUAAGAGUUGGAAUGUAAUUUUCAUACACCUGUUAGAUUUUAGGGAACUUUAACGAAAAGUUCCCGGUAUUAUUUACUUUAACAAAAAAUCACAUUUUUACAUUAAAAAGUCAAUAUGGUACUAUUCACUUUACCCUUUAUUUUGUCCUUAUUGUUAAAACUCAAAGUUUUCAAACCUUUUUUAUUAGUUUUUCUUAUAUUUUAAUCGUCUCCCAUCUCAUUCCCUUUUUAUUUUUCUAAUUUCCCAAAAAAAAUAGAGGGAAAAAAAAACACAGCCCCCCCCCCUCAAAAAAAAAAAUAACGGGGCCAAGUGUAGGUGUGUGUAUAUAUGUAUAUAUGCAGUGUCCAGUAGGGAUGCUCAUCCUCCGGUUGGUACAUGGGAUCGUUGCUGUAAACGACAUAGUUUUGCCCAUUAUUAGCACCUUGAAACACAACAUCCGACCUCGGUGGUUUUGCCCCAGAUCAUAGCGACGUAGUGACCACACUCCUCUUUGACACAUUUGUUUAAUAAAUGUGGAAUAUGACAUCAUUCUCUUUUAUUAUCUACAGUUUAAAUUACAAAAAUACCCUUAAAUCUAAUGACCAUUUUUUCUUUCUAAAAUACUAAAACAUACAGAAAUCAAUAUGCAAAUAAACAAACUGUCAUUCGAAAAACAGAUUCAGUAAUUGGUUUCCUGGUUUCAACAAAUAUGCCUAACGUGGAAAGACUCGCACAUUCUUAGUGCCAUAAUUCUUCUCUCUCUCUCUCUCUCUCUCUCUCGUUGUGUGUCUGUUUUUCUUAAAAGACAUCGGUUGGGAUAUGUCAGUUUAUUUUGAUUGUUUAGCAACAAACCUUAUCCCAAAUUUGAAAUACAAAGACCCAGAUUAACUUGUUUUUUUUUAUUUUUUAGUUAUUAUUUCAUGAAUCUCUUAGGUGAGCAAGAAUUUAUGUCGGCACUAUCGCCUCCCAGUUUAUAACAUAAAAUCUUGCAUAGCUAAGAUAGAUUAAAGAAAACUUAGGAAAGGACCAAGAAUUUGUAGAUUAAGAAUUUACUCUGCACUUUCUGUCAAACUGCAUACAUUUUGGGGGUUUAAUGAUAAAAUUCUCGUUAUGGUAGUUAAUGAUGAGGACAACAAAGAUGUGCUUGCAUUAUUGUAUAUAGCUUGAGAGUGUGCUCCAAAUGAGAGGGAUUUCAAGGAAGUAGGAAGUACUCGAAGAAACAUUCCAUAUUUUAUUUGGUUUUGACUUGACCAAAUGAUACGCAAGCAUAUAGUUUUUUGGGACAUUUUUACCCAUACUUCUGAAGUGUUGUGGUGUUCUUGGAGAUAGUUCUCCAUCUUCAAGAUUUUUUUUUUUUUUUUUUUUUUGAGGUUGAAUUGAUUGAAUUUUAAAUUUGAUGUAUAGGUUCUUCACAUCUUCAUUCCGUAAUAGAGAAACCGUUAUCCUUUAUGUGGAAUGAAUGAUAUAUGCAUAUACAAGUUGAAGUCAUUUUCCUCUUAAAGCACCUUAAGUGGUUAAAGAGCCUUAGGGUUGGUCUGGAUUUUUGGUGCUUUUAAAAAAAAUAGUUUAUUAAAAAUUUUGGAAUAUUAAAUGUAUUUGGUAAAACAAAAAAAAAAACGUUUUUUUUUUUCAAAACAUAGUAAUCAAUGCUCAUUUAAUGAAAUUUCCAAGUGACAAGUAUACCCUCACAUGCUUUACAAAAUUACAACUUUUGCCCCUACAUUAUUGUCUUUGACAAUUAUUAUGUCACAUUAAAUAUCAUAUAUGUUUUAGUCAUUUAAUAUAUUCAAGGUAAUUUAUAUAAAAGUUUACCAAACACUCAAACACUACUUUUUAUUAUUAUUAUUAAAAGCACUUUUACAACAAAAAAAAAGUUUACCAAACGCUCAAUAACUUUAUUUUACAGCUAUUUAUUCUUACAUCACAGCAAAAAUAAUUUUUUAUAAAAAAAAACACAACAAUACCAAACUAUCCCUUAGUAGAAAAAUAAAUGUUUAACCACUUGCUAUAAUAACGGGUAAAAUGGCACCAGCACGUGAGUUUAUCGCUACUUUCAAGAAAAAAGACUCAAUGUACCAUAUGUUUGAUAGAAACACAAUGAGAAUCAAGGAACCUUCCCCUUGACAUUGUUCCCUCCCCAAAUCAUGUCGGUACUAUGUUGUUAUAAAUUGAUUCUAUUAAAAAUUCUACUAAAAAAGUAUACAAAACUGAUUUUACAUGUAUUUGAAAUUGAUUCUGCAAAAAAUGUCGAAAAUGAGUUAAACUGAUUCUGCAAAAAUGGUCAAUGAUUGAUUGAACUGAUUCUACAAAAAUGGUCGAAGACGGGGUUGGCCUAAUUCUGCAAAAAAUGGUCGAUGAAAGGUUGAAUUGAUUCUACAAAAAUGGUCGAGGACUGAUUCUGCAAAAAUGGUCAAGGACGGGUUGAACUAAUUAUGCAAAAAUGGUCCACGAUGGGUUGAAUUGAUUCUGCAAAAUGAUCGAGGAAAUGGUCGACGACGGAUUGAACUAGUUCUGCAAAAAUGGUCGAUGACGGGUUGAACUAAUUCUGUAAAAAUGGUUAAAGACGGGUUGAACUGAUUCUGCAAAACUAAUCUAUGACUGGUUAAUUUGAUUCUGCAAAAAUUGUCGAAAACUGAUUGAACUGAUUCUGCAAAAGUGAUCGAUGACGUGUUUGUCACUAAGGCAUGAAAAAGAGCUUAACAUAGAUCUAACAUCUCUAAGGCACAAUCUCUUUGGUAAAGAAGUCAAAUCACUGCAAGCAAGUUACUUAAAACCAAGGUAUUAAAUAUCGGUAAUAUCGGAAAUAUCGGUAGUCCGAAAACACGGAAAUAUCGAUGGAAAUAUCGGGAUAAUAUUGAUAUCGAUAAAAAUUACAUGGAAACCACGGAAAUUGUAAGAAAAACUUGGAAAUUUUUAUUGAAACUUUGCAGGAUGUUUAUUUAGUCAAUCAUCUAUUAGUUUAUCACAAAAAAUUGGAAGGAAAUGCAUUGCAUGAUGGAUUUAACAUUAUCAAGUUGAUUAUAUAGCGAGCUGACAAACAUUGUGAGUGUAGAAAAUAUGUAGUAAUUAAUGAAAGAAGUUUAAACACACCAUGAUUAUUUAUAUAUAAUGAAUUAGUACAAUAGUUUACACUUUAUACAUUGCAUGGUAAGAUACAUGAGUGACUUAGUACCACAUAGAGUUCCUAUGAGGUUCAAAAUUUUCACUAUCUUCAUCAUCUCUAUGUGUAGAAUGAGUGUAUUGUGAAGAGUAGUUAUCAAAUGAUAAAUCCCCAAAAUAGUUUUGCAUGUAAUUGUUAACAUGCCACCCAUAUGGAUCCGAGAUUGGUUGACAUUGUCCAUAAGCAAAAUCAUUUGAAGAUUGAGUCUCGGAUUGUUUCCAUGAGUCGCUCGAUUCCAUCCCAACAGGAAUGGGAUAUGAAGGGUAGGGAAAUGGUUGGUUAUGAGUAUUACCAUAGUUACUACUUCCCACUUAAUUACUUAAAAAAAUUAACAUGUAAUUGUUAACAUUACUUAAUUACUUAAAAAAAUUAACAUGCAAGUAUUAAUUACUUAAAAAAAAUUAACAUACGAGUCCACACAAAUUUAUUUGUUGUUGUAUAAAUUACAAUAAUAUAAAUAUAAGUUUGUAAACUUACCUUAAAUAUGGAACCCUUUGUGUUCAAGCUUUGGAAUUGAUCUGGAAUGGCUUUGAAAGGGGUAAGGGAAGAAGAAGAAACGAAAAUACUCUGAAUGGCUCUGAUACUCCACCUCUGAGAAUGUGAAAGAAUAGAAUAAUUAUACAACAUUACUUAAUUACUUAAAAAAAUUAACAUGUAAUUGUUAACAUUACUUAAUUACUUACAAAAAUUAACAUGCAAGUAUUAAUUACUUCAAAAAAUUAACAUACGAGUCCACACAAAUUUAUUUGUUGUUGUAUAAAUUACAAUAAUAUAAAUAUAAGUUUGUAAACUUACCUUAAAUAUGGAACCCUUUGUGUUCAAGCUUUGGAAUGGAUUUGGAAUGGCUUUGAAAAUGG
rnacentral:lncRNA from 1 species